rnacentral:rRNA from 1 species
UAGAGUUUGAUCAUGGCUCAGAUUGAACGCUGGCGGCAGGCCUAACACAUGCAAGUCGAGCGGUAACAUUUCUAGCUUGCUAGAAGAUGACGAGCGGCGGACGGGUGAGUAAUGCCUGGGAAUAUGCCUUGAUGUGGGGGAUAACCAUUGGAAACGAUGGCUAAUACCGCAUAAUCUCCGAUCUUUUGCGAGAUGGGAGCAAAGAGGGGGACCUUUUGGCCUCUCGCGUCAAGAUUAGCCCAGGUGGGAUUAGCUAGUUGGUGAGGUAAGGGCUCACCAAGGCGACGAUCUCUAGCUGGUCUGAGAGGAUGAUCAGCCACACUGGAACUGAGACACGGUCCAGACUCCUACGGGAGGCAGCAGUGGGGAAUAUUGCACAAUGGGCGCAAGCCUGAUGCAGCCAUGCCGCGUGUGUGAAGAAGGCCUUCGGGUUGUAAAGCACUUUCAGUCGUGAGGAAGGUAGUGUAGUUAAUAGCUGCAUUAUUUGACGUUAGCGACAGAAGAAGCACCGGCUAACUCCGUGCCAGCAGCCGCGGUAAUACGGAGGGUGCGAGCGUUAAUCGGAAUUACUGGGCGUAAAGCGCAUGCAGGUGGUUUGUUAAAUCAGAUGUGAAAGCCCGGGGCUCAACCUUGGAAUUGCAUUUGAAACUGG